CCCAGACAGCCGCCAACUCCGAUCACUCUGGCCGACGUUUCAACAACCACGGGGCGUCUCACAGACCCCGCGGUUUCCUGUCCUCCCCACGCCCAGGAACAAGCACCACGCCAACCCUUAAGUCACUGCGAGUCGAAUCGCCGUUCCCCUUAAGCGGUGCUUCUACCUGCGGUCCCCACCGUUUGAAACAAACUCCCAGCUCAGGGAUCACCUUAAAAGGAUAGCCUUCCUGACUUCCAGGGCCAAAUCGGUAACUCCCUCUUCAAGCGCUGCCUAAGCACUCACGCGUGCUCACUGCAGCACUCGUCUCUGUAUUUUAAGGUUUGUCUACUCUUCACCCCACCCCAACUCCAAACGAUGACCUUCAGUCAGACUUCAUCUUCAAAUUUGACGCUGGCCCCUAGCACCAUUCUCUAUACAGGAAAUAAGGUGUUGUUCAAUGAAUGGAAUUUCAGUGUCCACGAGAAAGCCCAAUACCUACACAUCCAAUUCCCAUUAUCAAAUGUUUGCACAAGAAUCGCAAAUUAAAG
rnacentral:lncRNA from 1 species